CUCCUGAGGAAUGACUCCUCCUGGCCUUAAUCUUAAACCGUCUGCUCGUGACGUACCGAGCGCUUCGACAACAAACCGACGCGCUGACGGACACUUCAGAGGAGACAUGUACUCCUCUUCAUCACCGCCUCCUCCUCCUCCUGAACAACUGGUCUUCUCACAGAAGUCAGUGUGAGCUGCGCUGAGCGUGUGAACACGACGACGGAGACUUUCACAGGAUGGAGGCCGGAGAGGAGACGCUGAGCAUCCUGAGGACCGUAUGGGUCAAGCUGCACGGGCUUCCCAACGCCAGCCCCGUGGAGCAGGCAGCUUUCUUUGUCAUCUUGACCUUCAUCUCGGUGGUCCUGCUCAUGGCGGCGCUGCCCUGCGUGAGCUGCUGCUGCUGCUGCCGCCGCCGCAAGACGAAGAUGAGGGGAUCGAACAUUUGAGCGUCGCAGGACGUGCUGCAAAGGGUCCUCGGGAAUCAACGAGAGGCUUUUUUUCUGCGGCUCGAGUCGUUUAAGUCAACAGACAUUCGACAGCUUUCAGAGGAGCCCAACCCUCGAACAACAAGACGCCUGAAACAUCGCGACUGGCUGACACUCGAUGGAGCUGCCGGGGUUUGGGGAGAAUCUACUUUCUUUGGAGCAUCGCUGCGCAGAGGAACAACAACUCAUCUGGCUCGAGGAAACCCAACUUCUUCAUCUUCAAUAACAGGCUAAUACAUGGAAUAUGAGCGAUUACAAUGUGUAUGGUGAUUUGUUUUUAACUGCAGUGAGAUACGAAUGGGGAAGACGAAAAGGUUUUGUUAACGUGUCAUACUUAAGGAUCGACAAGUGGCGGUCAAAGUCACGCCUAACCUGUUUGGUUCUCUUUAAACAAACCAAGGUCCGUUUUCCCGGUUAGUGCAGUUUUAUUGGGCUGAUAUCGAAGCUGUCAAUCAAACCCCGGUCCGCUUCAGAGUGGACUCUGGCGCGGUUCGUUUGUGGUGGGAGAGCAGACGAACUCAUCACAGGAUUUUACGAAAGUACACAAGGGAUUUUAGCAUGAUUUCAAAAGCUAAACUACUAAUAAAUCCAUCUGCUGAUGCUGACAUCUGUUAUUUGUAUUGAUCUGUAUAGAGCCACGCACAUCACCUGUUAAAGCAAAUAUUCUGCUAAAAACAA